CGGAGCGUAGCGCAGUCUGGUAGCGCAUCUGCUUUGGGAGCAGAGGGUCGCAGGUUCGAAUCCUGUCGCUCCGACCA
rnacentral:tRNA from 1 species